rnacentral:rRNA from 1 species
UACGUAGGGUGCGAGCGUUGUCCGGAAUUACUGGGCGUAAAGAGCUCGUAGGCGGUGUGUCGCGUCGGCCGUGAAAACCUGCAGCUUAACUGUGGGCUUGCGGUCGAUACGGGCAUCACUGGAGUUCGGCAGGGGAGACUGGAAUUCCUGGUGUAGCGGUGAAAUGCGCAGAUAUCAGGAGGAACACCGGUGGCGAAGGCGGGUCUCUGGGCCGAUACUGACGCUGGAGGAGCGAAAGCCGUG